CCUACGGGUGACAGCAGUGGGGGAUAUUGCACAAUGGGGGAAACCCUGAUGCAGCGACGCCGCGUGUGGGAAGACGGUCCUCUGGAUUGUAAACCACUGUCCCCAGGGACGAAGAUGACGGUACCUGGGGAGGAAGCUCCGGCUAACUACGUGCCAGCAGCCGCGGUAAUACGUAGGGAGCGAGCGUUGUCCGGAAUUACUGGGUGUAAAGGGAGCGUAGGCGGGGAUGCAAGUUGGGUGUCAAAACUACCGGCUCAACUGGUAGUCGCACUCAAAACUGCAGCUCUUGAGUGCAGGAGGGGCAGGCGGAAUUCCUGGUGUAGCGGUGAAAUGCGUAGAUAUCAGGCGGAACACCGGUGGCGAAGGCGGCCUGCUGGACUGCAACUGACGUUGAGGCCCGAAAGCGUGGGGAGCAAACAGGAUUAGAUACCCCAGUAGUC
rnacentral:rRNA from 1 species